rnacentral:misc_RNA from 1 species
GAUGAAGAACGUAGCGAAACGCGAUAUGUAAUGUGAAUUGCAGAAUUCAGUGAAUCAUCGAAUCUUUGAACGCACAUGGCGCCUUCCAGUAUCCUGGGAGGCAUGCCUGUCCGAGCGUCGUUUCAACCCUCGAGCCCCCGUGGCCCGGCGUUGGGGAUCUGCCCAGGCAGUCCCCGAAAACCAGUGGCGGACCCGUUACAGGCCCUUCCCUUGCGUAGUAGCAUUUGCCUCGCAUCGGGAGCCGGCGGGCUUCCAGCCUCUAAACCCCCAUCAAGUCCGCCCCGGCGGCACCAAGGUUGACCUCGGAUCAGGUAGGAAUACCCGCUGAACUUAAGCAUAUCAAUAAGCGGAGGA